AACGCACGCUAGGGUUACCGCGGCUGCUGGCACGGAGUUAGCCGGUGCUUCUUCUGCGAGUAACGUCACAGAUGUAAGGUAUUAACUUACACCCUUUCCUCCUCGCUGAAAGUGCUUUACAACCCGAAGGCCUUCUUCACACACGCGGCAUGGCUGCAUCAGGGUUUCCCCCAUUGUGCAAUAUUCCCCACUGCUGCCUCCCGUAGGAGUCUGGGCCGUGUCUCAGUCCCAGUGUGGCUGAUCAUCCUCUCAGACCAGCUAGGGAUCGUCGCCUAGGUGAGCCUUUACCUCACCUACUAGCUAAUCCCACCUGGGCUUAUCCAUCAGCGCAAGGCCCGAAGGUCCCCCUGCUUUCCCCCGUAGGGCGUAUGCGGUAUUAGCAGUCGUUUCCAACUGUUAUCCCCACAAAUGGGCAAAUUCCCAGGCAUUACUCACCCGUCCGCCGCUCGUCAUCUUCAAAAGCAAGCUUUUGAAAUGUUACCGCUCGACUUGCAUGUGUUAGGCCUGCCGCCAGCGUUCAAU
rnacentral:rRNA from 1 species